rnacentral:rRNA from 1 species
GACAGAGGGGGCAAGCGUUGCUCGGAAUUACUGGGCGUAAAGGGCGCGUAGGCGGAAUGGCAAGUCGGUCGUGAAAUCCUUCGGCUCAACCGAAGAACGUCGAUCGAAACUGCCGUUCUUGAGGAUUGCAGAGGAGACUGGAAUUCCCGGUGUAGCGGUGAAAUGUGUAGAGAUCGGGAGGAACACCGGUGGCGAAGGCGGCUUUCUGGGCCUUACCUGACGCUGAGACGCGAAAGCGUGGGGAGCGAACCGG